rnacentral:rRNA from 1 species
AUUAGUAAAUUAUACUUCGCGAAGGGGCUCGAGUUAAUUAAUAGAGUAUGUUAGUAUUCACUUUUGUGUGUUGCAUAAUACAAAGUAUAUUGUUAGUUAGGGGUGACAGACUUCUCAAGACUCCCUAUAUCUUGUUUUUUAGGAAAUAUAUUUAGUAUUAACUCAACCUAGAAGUGGCAAGGCUUCUAGGGGUUACAAAUUAUGAUAUGAGUCACAGUAAUUUAUUUAACAAUAUUUAUUUAAUUAAUACCAAUAUAAUGUACUCAGGCUUGUAUAAAUUACUAAAAUGUAUCUGUAAUAAACGAGGGUAUUAUUACUGUUGAUAUAAGUAUUAAUAUAUUUCCCUAAUAGGAACUCGGCAAAUAGUUUCUCAACUGUUUAUCAAAAACAUAGCUGGACGAACUUAACAUCUGGUAAUUUCUGCUCAAUGAUAAUUAAAUAGCCGCAGUACCCUGACUGUGCAAAGGUAGCAUAAUCAUUUGGCUUAUAAUUGAAGUCUGGCAUGAAAGAAUUAAUGGGAAACAACUGUCUUUAGGGGAACCAGAGAAUUUAAUUAGCAAGUGAAAAUGCUUGUUCAUAAAUAAUAGACGAGAAGACCCUAGAAAUUUUUUAUAAUAUAAUAUAUUAUUAAUAUUAUUUUGUUGGGGCGACAGAAUAACAAGGAACUUAUUUUAAACUAUUAGAACUUUAUAUUGAGUAAAAGUAAAUUACUCUAGGGAUAACAGCAUAAUUUAUUAAAGUUUGUGACCUCGAUGUUGGACUAGGGAUUUUACUAUCUAGAAGAUAUUAAACCAGGCUCUGUUCGAGCUUUUUUCCCUACAUGAUCUGAGUUCAGACCGGC